AGAGUUUGAUCCUGGCUCAGGAUGAACGCUAGCUACAGGCUUAACACAUGCAAGUCGAGGGGCAUCAGGAAUCUAGCUUGCUAGGUUUGCUGGCGACCGGCGCACGGGUGAGUAACGCGUAUCCAACCUUCCCCUUAGUAGGGCAUAGCCCGGCGAAAGUCGGAUUAAUACCCUAUGUUCUUUACGGCAGACAUCUAAUGUAAAGCAAAGAUUCAUCGCUAAGGGAUGGGGAUGCGUCCGAUUAGGUAGUCGGCGGGGUAACGGCCCACCGAGCCUUCGAUCGGUAGGGGUUCUGAGAGGAAGGUCCCCCACAUUGGAACUGAGACACGGUCCAAACUCCUACGGGAGGCAGCAGUGAGGAAUAUUGGUCAAUGGACGUAGGUCUGAACCAGCCAAGUAGCGUGCAGGAUGACGGCCCUAUGGGUUGUAAACUGCUUUUGCCGGGGAAUAAAGUGCGGUACGUGUGCCGUUUUGUAUGUACCCGGAGAAUAAGGACCGGCUAAUUCCGUGCCAGCAGCCGCGGUAAUACGGAAGGUCCGGGCGUUAUCCGGAUUUAUUGGGUUUAAAGGGAGCGCAGGCUGCAGAUUAAGCGUGACGUGAAAUGCCGCGGCUCAACCCGUGGAAGUGCGUCGCGAACUGGUUUUGCUUGAGUGCACUCGAGGGAUGCGGAAUUCGUGGUGUAGCGGUGAAAUGCUUAGAUAUCACGAAGAACUCCGAUUGCGAAGGCAGCGUCCCAGCGUGUAACUGACGCUAAUGCUCGAAAGUGCGGGUAUCGAACAGGAUUAGAUACCCUGGUAGUCCG
rnacentral:rRNA from 1 species